rnacentral:tRNA from 2 species
GAAACACUAGUAAAAUUAUUACACUGCCUUGUCAAGGCAGAAUUACGGGUGGAACUCCCGUGUGUCUCG